UGAGGGUGGUGGUGAAGGUGGUGGUGGUGAGGGUGGUGGUGGUGGUGGUGAGGGUGAGCAGCCUGACCUGGUGGGACUCCUUCACCGCGUGCCACAGCUGAUGGAGAAGUUCGACCACGUGGUGGAGAUGCUGACUCAGCUGCAGACAAUGGAAUCCGAGUUCAAGGCUUUCAAACAACAGGUUGAGCUGAUGGUCACGCGACAACAACAACAACAACGUCAUCAACAUCAACAACAACAUCAUCAACAACAACAACGUCAUCAACAACAACAUCAUCAACAACAACAUCAACAUCAACAAAAACAACGACAUCAACAACAUCAACAACAACAACAACGUCAUCAACAUCAACAACGUCGUCGGAACGAUAGCAGCCUCAUCAUCGGCUCCACCUCCCCACCAGGAGCAUCAUCAUCAUCAGCAUCAUCAUCAUCAGCAGUAGCAGCAUCAUCAUCAGCAGUAGUAUCAUCAUCAUCAGCAGUAGUAUCAUCAUCAGCAGUAGUAGCAUCAUCAGCAGCGUCAUCAUCAUCAGCAGUAACAUCAUCGUCUGCGUCAUUAUCAUCAGCAUCAGUAGCAUCAUCAUCAGCAGCAGCAUCAUCAGCAGCAGCAUCAUCAGCAGGAGCUAUGUGCCGAAGUGACAGGAUGUGAUGGAGUGACUCCGAUGAACCGGGCUCCGCUUCAGUCCCUGCCAAGCUCCUCCUCCGUCUCUGCACUCGGUCCACUCAGCCUUAAAUUCUGGGAAUUAGAGAGGACUCCCCCGAUGGAGGAUGGUGAUGGUGGUUGUGGUGAUUGUGGUGGCGGUGAUUGUGGUGGCGGUGAUGGUGGUGGUGAUGUUGAUGGAGGUGAUGGUGGUGGUGGUGGU